rnacentral:rRNA from 1 species
UACGGAAGGCAGCAGUGGGGAAUAUUGCACAAUGGGCGCAAGCCUGAUGCAGCCAUGCCGCGUGUAUGAAGAAGGCCUUCGGGUUGUAAAGUACUUUCAGUCGUGAGGAAGGUGUUAAGGUUAAUAACCUUAGCAAUUGACGUUAGCGACAGAAGAAGCAUCGGCUAACUCCGUGCCAGCAGCCGCGGUAAUACGGAGGGUGCGAGCGUUAAUCGGAAUUACUGGGCGUAAAGGGCACGCAGGCGGUUAAUUAAGUUGGAUGUGAAAUCCCCGGGCUUAACCUGGGAAUGGCAUUCAAGACUGGUUAGCUAGAGUCUUGUAGAGGGGGUAGAAUUCCAUGUGUAGCGGUGAAAUGCGUAGAGAUGUGGAGGAAUACCGGUGGCGAAGGCGGCCCCUGGGACAAAGACUGACGCUCAUGUGCGAAAGCGUGGGGAGCAAACAGGAUUAGAUACC